rnacentral:rRNA from 1 species
CCUACGGGGGGCAGCAGUGGGGAAUAUUGGACAAUGGGGGCAACCCUGAUCCAGCCAUGCCGCGGGUGUGAAGAAGGCCCUCGGGUUGUAAAGCACUUUCAGUGAGGAAGAACGCCUGGUGGUUAAUACCCAUCAGGAAAGACAUCACUCACAGAAGAAGCACCGGCUAACUCCGUGCCAGCAGCCGCGGUAAUACGGAGGGUGCGAGCGUUAAUCGGAAUUACUGGGCGUAAAGCGCGCGUAGGUGGCUUGAUAAGCCGGUUGUGAAAGCCCCGGGCUCAACCUGGGAACGGCAUCCGGAACUGUCAAGCUAGAGUGCAGGAGAGGAAGGUAGAAUUCCCGGUGUAGCGGUGAAAUGCGUAGAGAUCGGGAGGAAUACCAGUGGCGAAGGCGGCCUUCUGGACUGACACUGACACUGAGGUGCGAAAGCGUGGGUAGCAAACAGGAUUAGAUACCCGUGUAGUC